rnacentral:rRNA from 1 species
UACGUAGGGUGCAAGCGUUGUCCGGAAUUACUGGGCGUAAAGCGCACGUAGGCGGAUUGUUAAGUCGGGGGUGAAAUCCUGGGGCUCAACUCCAGAACUGCCUUCGAUACUGGCGAUCUCGAGUUCGGGAGAGGUGAGUGGAACUGCGAGUGUAGAGGUGAAAUUCGUAGAUAUUCGCAAGAACACCAGUGGCGAAGGCGGCUCACUGGCCCGAUACUGACGCUGAGGUGCGAAAGCGUGGGGAGCAAACAGG